rnacentral:rRNA from 1 species
UACGUAGGGGGCAAGCGCUGUCCGGAAUCAUUGGGCGUAAAGCGCGUGUAGGCGGCUCGGUAAGUCUGCUGUGAAAGUCCAGGGCUCAACCCUGGGAUGCCGGUGGAUACUGUCGAGCUCGAGUCCGGAAGAGGCGAGUGGAAUUCCUGGUGUAGCGGUGAAAUGCGCAGAUAUCAGGAGGAACACCAAUGGCGAAGGCAGCUCGCUGGGACGUGACUGACGCUGAGACGCGAAAGCGUGGGGAGCAAACAGG